rnacentral:rRNA from 1 species
GAUGAACGCUGGCGGCGUGCUUAACACAUGCAAGUCGAACGAACCUUCGGGUUAGUGGCGGACGGGUGAGUAACGCGUGAGAAUCUGCCCUCAGGAGGGGGAUAACAGCUGGAAACGGCUGCUAAUACCCCAUAUGCCGCGAGGUGAAAUGAAUUUCGCCUGAGGAUGAGCUCGCGUCUGAUUAGCUAGUUGGUGUAGGUAAUGGCUCACCAAGGCAUCGAUCAGUAGCUGGUCUGAGAGGAUGAUCAGCCACACUGGGACUGAGACACGGCCCAGACUCCUACGGGAGGCAGCAGUGGGGAAUUUUCCGCAAUGGGCGAAAGCCUGACGGAGCAACGCCGCGUGAGGGAUGAAGGCCUCUGGGCUGUAAACCUCUUUUAUCAAGGAAGAAGAUCUGACGGUACUUGAUGAAUAAGCCACGGCUAAUUCCGUG